UGAAUCCAUUAAAUCCGUUAAUGUUUUUCUGUUUUUCUUCAUUGCAGUCAAUAAGAUUAAAACAUACCCAUGAAGAAUCUGUACAAACGCUCCAUUAUAAACCCAGACGCGUGAAAAAUAUGUCAAAUCCAUUAGAAUCCCAGGCCUUCUACGUGUUCGCAACACACAAUCAAGUUAUUUCAGGUCAGAGAAACUGGCCAAACCAACAAAUUGUGCUCAAUCAGUCUAUGUGAUUCAAACUCCAUGCUUAAUGAGGUAAAUGGUGAAUUAUGCCAAUGCAUAUUUCACCUUGGAUGAAAAGGUACCAAUCUGGAAGGUUUGCAGCACCACGUAUUUUCUAAAGCUCGAGAAUCCAACAUCUUUAGAGG